AUGUUGAUAACACACUGAUGAUUUAGUUGUUGCUAAGCAGUGUUAAGAUUAGCAUGGCCCCUGCGCAAGGAUGACACGUAGAUUUGUGAGGAGUUCCACAUAUAA
rnacentral:snRNA from 1 species